rnacentral:rRNA from 1 species
UACGUAGGCAGCAAGCGUUGUUCGGAAUUACUGGGCGUAAAGAGCGUGUAGGCGGCCAGGUAGGUCUGCUGUGAAAACUCGAGGCUCAACCUCGAGACGUCGGCGGAAACCAUCUGGCUAGAGUCCGGAAGAGGAGAGUGGAAUUCCUGGUGUAGCGGUGAAAUGCGCAGAUAUCAGGAAGAACACCCGUGGCGAAGGCGGCUCUCUGGGACGGUACUGACGCUGAGACGCGAAAGCGUGGGGAGCGAACAGG